GAUGAAGAACGCAGCGAAAUGCGAUAAGUAGUGUGAAUUGCAGAAUUCAGUGAAUCAUCGAAUCUUUGAACGCACAUUGCGCCCCAUGGUAUUCCGUGGGGCAUGCCUGUUCGAACGUCAUUUACCCCCUCAAGCUCCGCUUGGUGUUGGGCGUCUGUCCCGCUUCGCGCGCGGACUCGCCCCAAAGGUAUUGGCAGCGGUCGUGCCAGCUUCUCGCGCAGCACAUUGCGCUUCUCGAGGCACCGGUGGGCCCGCGUCCAUCAAGCUCACCCCCCAGUUUGACCUCGGAUCAGGUAGGGAUACCCGCUGAACUUAAGCAUAUCAAUAAGCGGAGGA
rnacentral:misc_RNA from 1 species